rnacentral:rRNA from 1 species
UAGAGUUUGAUCYUGGCUCAGNAACGAACGCUGGCGGCAUGCCUAAUACAUGCAAGUCGAACGAAUGCCCUUCGGGGUGUUAGUGGCGCACGGGUGCGUAACGCGUGGGAAUCUGCCCUUGGGUUCGGAAUAACAGUUAGAAAUGACUGCUAAUACCGGAUGAUGACGUAAGUCCAAAGAUUUAUCGCCCAAGGAUGAGCCCGCGUAGGAUUAGCUAGUUGGUGGGGUAAAGGCCCACCAAGGCGACGAUCCUUAGCUGGUCUGAGAGGAUGAUCAGCCACACUGGGACUGAGACACGGCCCAGACUCCUACGGGAGGCAGCAGUAGGGAAUAUUGGACAAUGGGCGCAAGCCUGAUCCAGCAAUGCCGCGUGAGUGAUGAAGGCCUUAGGGUUGUAAAGCUCUUUUACCCGAGAUGAUAAUGACAGUAUCGGGAAGAAUAAGC